CAUAAACUAGGGCCGCGGGCCGGUGCCCCGGUCUUCAGCCACCAGUGUGCAGGAGCAGCAGCAGUGGCAAGAGUUGAGCCCAGUCCAGCAAGCUAACGCUACAUGGCGCUAGCUGGCAGCGUCGUGCAGCUUUCAGAGUGCCAAAUCAAGACGCCGCACUCAACCGACUUCCCGCUCGAAGGAACCGUGUCUUUGGAAAGAGGAGUCUCCGUGUGGCAGGCUGCGUUGUGUGCCGUCGUGCCAGCCCGCGGCGAGGUCCUCAGCCCUUUUAGGUGUAAUUGAUGUAAACGGAGGGAGUCGGAAAAAGGCCCGGCCAUGGCUGACCUUGUUCUAAAGCGGGCUGGCUCACCCCAAUUAUUCACAGAUCCUCACCCAGAUGCUUCAAGCU
ensembl:lncRNA